UCCAGACUCCUACGGGAGGCAGCAGUGAGGAAUAUUGCACAAUGGGGGAAACCCUGAUGCAGCGACGCCGCGUGAGCGAUGAAGUAUUUCGGUAUGUAAAGCUCUAUCAGCAGGGAAGAAAAUGACGGUACCUGACUAAGAAGCCCCGGCUAACUACGUGCCAGCAGCCGCGGUAAUACGUAGGGGGCAAGCGUUAUCCGGAUUUACUGGGUGUAAAGGGAGCGUAGACGGCGAUGCAAGCCAGAUGUGAAAGCCCGGGGCUCAACCCCGGGACUGCAUUUGGAACUGUAUAGCUAGAGUGUCGGAGAGGCAGGCGGAAUUCCUAGUGUAGCGGUGAAAUGCGUAGAUAUUAGGAGGAACACCUGUGGCGAAGGCGGCCUGCUGGACGAUAACUGACGUUGAGGCACGAAAGUGUGGGGAGCAAACAGGAUUAGAUACCCUGGUAUAA
rnacentral:rRNA from 1 species